rnacentral:lncRNA from 1 species
CACCACCACCACCACCAUCACUACAAAACUACCACCACCACCACCGCUACUACCACCACCACCCCUACUACCACCACCCCCACUACUACUACCACCACCACCACCCCUACCACCAUCACUACAAAACUACCACCACCACCACCCCUACUACCACCACCCCUACCACCACUACAAAACUACCACCAUCACGACCACCACUACUACCACCACCAGCCCUACCACCACCACCACCGCUACUACCACCACCACCCCUACCACCAACACUACUACUACCACCACUACCACCACCACCGCUACCAACACCACCACCACCCCUACUACCACCACCACCGCUACUACCACCACCACCGCUACCAACAACACCACCACCGCUACCAACACCACCACCACCCCUACUACCACCACCACCGCUACCACCACCGUUACUACCACCACCACCGCUACUACCACCACGCCACCAUUACUACGACCACCACCACCACCGCUACUACCACCACCAACACUACUACCACCACCAACACUACCACCACCACCGCCACUACUGUACCACCACCAUCACUACCACCACCAUCACUACCACCACCAUCACCGCUACUACUGUGCCACCACCAUCACUUCCACCACUACCGCUACUACUGUACUACCACCAUAACCGCUACUACUGUACCACCACUAUCACUACCACCACUACCGCUACACUGUACCACCACCAUCACUACCACCCCCACAACCGCUACUACCACAACUUCUACUAUCACCACUACCACCGCUACCACCACCACCGCUACAACCCUCACCACCCCUAAUACCACCCCCACUACCACCACCACCACCACCACUACUACCACCACCACAACCACAACCGCUACUACCACCACCAUCGCUCCCACCACUACAACCGCUACCACCACAACCGCUACUACCACCACCACCACUACUACCCCCACCAUCGCUACUACCAUCACUACCACCACCAUCACUGCUACUACCACCAUCAUUGCUGCUGCUGCUCUGGGGUAAAUAUGACUUUAAUUGUCUAACGGAGAUGGUGGCCCCGGCGUGGUGUAUGUGAACAUGUGUCCCCGGAGCGUCACACAUCUGCAGAGGGAGAUGGGGGAUGUGGGGGAGAGGGUGCAUGGGUUUGUGGGAUGCGUGGUUA